GGGGUUAUAGUUCAGCUGGCUAGAACGUCUCGCUGGCAGCGAGAAGGUCAGGGGUUCGAGUCCCCUUAACUCCA
rnacentral:tRNA from 1 species